UUGAAUUAUUAAUAUAUAAUUUUAUUAAAUGUAAAUUCUUGUGUGGAUAAUUUUUUAUUUAAAAAAUAAUAAAUUAAUAUUAUUUACAGUUUUUAAAAUUUUAUAUUUAAGCAAUUAAGAUUAAGAAAUUUAUUUAGUAUUAACAAAAUUUGUGCCAGCAGUUGCGGUUAUACAAAUAAUGCAAUUAAUAUUUAUUAAUUUAUAAUUAAUUGAAAUAUAAUUAGAUUAAAAUAAUUAUUAUUAAGUGAAAUUUUAAUUUUUAAGUAUCUAAAAACAAGAUUAUGAGGUUAUUAAAUUUAACAUUAAACUAGGAUUAGAUACCCUAUUAUUAUAAAUAUAAAUUUGAUAAAUUAAAUUACUAAUAGUUAUAAUCUUUAAAAUUAAAAAUUUUGGCGGUAUUUUAGUCUUUUCAGAGGAACCUGUUCUAUAAUCGAUAAACCACGAUUAAUUUUACUUACUUUAAUUAGUUUAUAUAUCAUCGUAGGUUGAAUAUUUUAUAAGAAUUUAAAUGUUCAAAAUUUACAAUAAUAAAUAAAAUCAGAUCAAGGUAUAGCUUAUAGGUAAGAAGAAAUGGGUUACAGUAAAAAUAUUUAUAUGGAUUAAAUAAUUAAAUUUAUUUUUGAAAGUGGAUUUGACAGUAAUUUUAUUUAUUUAAAUAAAAUGAUUUAAGCUCUAAAAUAUGCACAUAUCGCCCGUCGCUUUCAUUUAAAAUGAAAUAAGUCGUAACAAAGUAGAUGUACUGGAAAGUGUAUCUAGAAUUAA
rnacentral:ncRNA from 1 species